rnacentral:rRNA from 1 species
CAGUAGCCGCGGGAAUACGUAGGGUGCAAGCGUUAAUCGGAAUUACUGGGCGUAAAGCGUGCGCAGGCGGUUUGUUAAGACAGAUGUGAAAUCCCCGGGCUUAACCUGGGAACUGCAUUUGUGACUGGCAAGCUAGAGUAUGGCAGAGGGGGGUGGAAUUCCGCGUGUAGCAGUGAAAUGCGUAGAUAUGCGGAGGAACACCGAUGGCGAAGGCAGCCCCCUGGGCCAAUACUGACGCUCAUGCAUGAAAGCGUGGGGAGCAAACAGGAUUAGAUACCCGGUAGUCCCUGUCUCUUAUACA